GAUGAACGCUGGCGGCGUGCCUAAUACAUGCGAGUCGAGCGAACGGACGAGAAGCUUGCUUCUCUGAAGUUAGCGGCGGACGGGUGAGUAACACGUGGAUAACCUACCUAUAAGACUGGGAUAACUUCGGGAAACCGUAGCUAAUACCGGAUAAUAUUUUGAACCGCAUGGUUCAAAAGUGAAAGACGGUCUUGCUGUCACUUAUAGAUGGAUCCGCGCUGCAUUAGCUAGUUGGUAAGGUAACGGCUUACCAAGGCAACGAUGCAUAGCCGACCUGAGAGGGGGAUCGGCCCCACUGGAACUGAGACCCGUCCCAGACUCCCACGGGAGGCAGCAGUUGGGAAUCUUCCGCAAUGGGCGAAAGCCUGACGGAGCAACCCCGCGUGGGUGAAGAAGGUCUUCGGUUCGUAAAACUCUUUUAUUGGGAAAGAACAUAUGUGUAAUUAACUGUCCCUCUUUUGACGGUACCAAAACAAAAAGCCCCGGCGAACUCCGU
rnacentral:rRNA from 1 species